CUCUGGUCAUAGGAACAACAUGAAUUUGUGCAUGAGGCAGAUGCGGUGCGACUCUAGUUUCACCAUCAGGUGGAAGACGGUGUUCCCUCUCUCUGGUCAGUCUCACCGGAGGAAAGGAAGGAGAGAGCAGGGACCGUGAGAGGCAGUUGGGAAAAAUCGUUUUGAACAGUCGUCCAACUCGGAAUUCCAAUUUGAAAACUUGGGCAUCUUUCUAGAGCUUCGACUUUUCGACCUGAAGAUCACUGACGUCGUGAUUUGACCUCGUUGACCAUCAGGUACAGGGCCCAUCUGUGGAGGAUCAAGCUCAACCCCCCAGAAAACCCUGAGUGUUCACUUCUACAGGCACACCAAAAGAACCAAGAAAGUGGAUCUUAAACUGUAUGGACAGGCACUCCAGAUGACCCCAAUGGUCAAGUUCCUUGGGGUCCCAUUCCAAGAAAACAUGUCUGGGAGUGCCCACAUAGAGUGCCUGGAGAAGGGGGGAAGGAAGCGCCUGAGGAAGAAAAGGAGGAGACACACCCGGA
rnacentral:lncRNA from 1 species